AAGUCGUAACAAGGUUUCGUAUAGCGACAGAUCCUUCUGUGAUAAGCUUCGGAGACCUUGCAACCCCGUGGGGAGGCAGCACGACAGUAAAUAAGGCUGACCGUUUGCAAGUUGGCGUCAGCCAGCAACACGAUCGAAUUGACGGGGACCUCCUAAAGCUCUAUCUACCCUACCGACAUCGAAAGCUGCCGGCGGCCGGUAAAAGUGAUAGAGAUAUUACAAUGGACAAUCCGCAGCGAACAUCCUAAGGGCGCUUGCCUAGGGGUGACGUUCACAGACUAAGUGGCCGUGGGCAGUUAACGCUGUCUAAGAUAUAGUCGGGCCUGUAGUGAAAGCUAUAGGGUAUUGUCCGUAGGUGAACCUGCGGAAGGAUCAUUAAUGAGUUCAUGCCCUUACGGGUAGACCUCCCACCCUUGAAAAUUAUACACUUGUUGCUUUGGCGGGCCGCUUCGGCCUCUGACUUCGGUCGGUGAGUGCCCGCCAGAGGACCCUAAACUCUGAAUUAAUGUCGUCUGAGCACUAUAUAAUAGUUAAAACUUUCAACAACGGAUCUCUUGGUUCUGGCAUCGAUGAAGAACGCAGCGAAAUGCGAUAAGUAAUGUGAAUUGCAGAAUUCAGUGAAUCAUCGAAUCUUUGAACGCACAUUGCGCCCCUUUGNAUUCCGGGGGGCAUGCCUGUUCGAGCGUCAUUAAACCCUCAAGCUUAGCUUGGUGUUGGGGCCUGCCGUCUGGCAGCCCUAAAAUCAGUGGCGGUGCCCUCUGGCUCUAAGCGUAGUAAUAUUUCUCGCUAUAGGGUCUGGUGGGUGUCUUCCAACAACCCCUAAUUAUCUUAUGGUUGACCUCGGAUCAGGUAGGGAUACCCGCUGAACUUAAGCAUAUCAAUAAGCGGAGGAAAAGAAACCAACAGGGAUUGCCUCAGUAACGGCGAGUGAAGCGGCAACAGCUCAAAUUUGAAAUCUGGCUCUUUCAGGGUCCGAGUUGUAAUUUGUAGAAGAUGCUUUGGGUGUGGCUCCGGUCUAAGUUCCUUGGAACAGGACGUCAUAGAGGGUGAGAAUCCCGUAUGUGACUGGCUGCCUUCGCCUAUGUAAAGCUCUUUCGACGAGUCGAGUUGUUUGGGAAUGCAGCUCAAAAUGGGUGGUAUAUUUCAUCUAAAGCUAAAUAUUGGCCAGAGACCGAUAGCGCACAAGUAGAGUGAUCGAAAGAUGAAAAGCACUUUGGAAAGAGAGUUAAACAGUACGUGAAAUUGUUGAAAGGGAAGCGCUUGCAAUCAGACUUGCACGCAGUUGAUCAUCCGGUGUUCUCACCGGUGCACUCUGCUGCGUUCAGGCCAGCAUCGGUUUUGGUGGUUGGAUAAAGGCCUUGGGAAUGUAGCUUCUUUCGGGGAGUGUUAUAGCCCUCGGUGCAAUGUAACCUACUAGGACCGAGGACCGCGCUUCGGCUAGGAUGCUGGCGUAAUGGUUGUAAGCGACC
rnacentral:rRNA from 1 species